UUCCAAUUUCUAAAAGAAAUAUAAGCACAUUUAUGUAAAGACUCAUCUAAUGAAAAUUCCUUCAGGAAUUUUAUCAGUUACUGGCUAUGCCCAAUCUACAUAAUUCAUAUAUAACAUAGCAUAUCCAAAGAUUAACUUUGUGUCUUAGUAGUUUUAAAAUGUAUGCUGUGAAGUUUCAGCCUACAAGUUAUGUCUAUACUCAGUGCUGCAUGGUAUAAAUUGCAAAAAGGCCAAGAGAUGCCAUAAUUAUUGACUGAUAUAAAUGGCACCUCCAGAGUUGGGUAAAACUCAGGCUUGUCUAUAUUAUACAUACAUUUAUUGGUCUCACCAAAUAAAGAGAAUAACAAAUUAAUUGAAAGCAGUUUCUCCCAAACCAUGAGUUAAAGGAAAACAAAAUUUAUUAAUGACUCAUAGUAAUUCCAAAAUAUGGGCAAAAUGCUUCAACUUACAACUGAUAAUAUCCAUAUUCCCUUCGCAGUGCUUGAAGUAUACUAAGUCGAUAAAGUCUCGGGGGGAAAUUGAGCCCAUGGCAAAACUUUGUGUAAUGGUAUGACAUAUGAAUGUGUCCUGGAACAAAUCAAACCGUAAAGAUUGCAACAGUUACUUCAUAUCUAUCCUUUGUAUCUCUCCCCAGAGAAUUUCACUGCAUUACAUUAGCUACUAUUUGGAAAAAGAAGGGGGCUUUGAAGUUAGAAGAACAUCAUCAAAUCUGCUCGCGUUUUCAGUGUUAGAGGAACAUUAGAUCUAUAACCAUACGCACAGGGCAACCAAAGCAAAAAUAAACAAGUGGGACCACAUCAAACAAAAAAGCUCUGCACAGCAAUGGAAACCAUAAAUAAAAUGAAAAGGCAAUGUACAGAAAUGGGAGAAAGUAAUCUGGAAAUCAAAUAUCUGGUGAGGAAUUAAUGUAAGUGCAGAAAAUUCAGAAAGGAAUUUCGUUAUUAUCUACUCCUUAAAUUUUUAGACGAAGGAACCGAAGCCUAACAGAUUAAAUCACAUGCAAAACUAGAGAUAAGUACAGAACUAGAACCCAUGUUCCUUAUUCCCAGUGUAUUUCUACCAGUCCACACUGGUUAGAUAACAUAUUCUGACAAAUAUAUUGGUUUAGCACCCUGUGGUAUAAGGCCUUAAAAUUAAGGACCAGUAUUAUGCGCCGCCUUGACGUCUGCUGAAGUUGGGAGAGUCUUAAAUGGCCUAACUGCAAGGUAUUCUCCCCAUUCUGUUCCUACAGGUAAGGCCCCUUUGUCAGGCAAUGCCCCUUAUCACAGGAUCAGCCACAGUUCCUAUUUGUCCCUGAGUGGUGGGUUUCAGUUCCCUGCUGGACAGCAGAACUGAUCCAACCAAUCACAGCCUCCUGUAGGAGUCAGGGGUCACCUCAACCUCUUGACACCACAACGCCGGUGUUGCACAACCUCUGGUUAUUUACUCUGCUCCUGGGUGCAACAACCAUGUCACCCUCCAUGGCGGUGUGUCCUUGGGAGUUUAGCUAAGCUACUCCAUGGUAUUGCUGCUUCAGUAAACUUUUUGUUUGGCCACUGCGCCUGUGGCGGCCUUAAACUGACACUAGCCACCCCCCCCCCCCCAACAAGCGCAUGCCUUGGUCACCACAGUCACAAGGAAAUGUCAGUUCCUGAUGUAACUUCCCCAACACCCCUUCCGAUCAAUGGUCUCCCCUACCUCCCACAACCUUCCCCUCGUGAGGUCCUUGGACACCUCUGGGACUUGUGUUUUACAAAGUGACCUGCUCUUUUUGGUUUGAAUUGGCCAAUCUGGCCUUAGCCCAGGAAUCCCAAAGCACUCUACUCACAGACGCUCAGGUGCCUCAGGGCCUGCCUCUCUCUGCCUGCAGCCUGCCUUGACCUCCCCAUGUGGCUCCUGGAGGCGUUCCGUGUACCUUUUCCAGGACUUUUUCUAACCAGCUUUAGCUGCUAUAUGGAAUAACUGAUCAGUAUAUGUGAAGUUACACUUUAUUUACAGACCAUACAUUUCAUGAAGAUUUCAGGCAGCAAUGAAAACCUUUUGACUCCUCACUGUGAGGAAAGCAAACGUCAUGUUGUGAAUAGCCCUGUGGAGCAGUCCCUAUGUCAAGGAACUGAGGAAGGCUUCCAGCCUAGAGCCAGAAAGGAACUGAGGCCCUCAGUCCAACAAGCCCAGGAAGAUCCAAAUUCUGCCAACAACCAUGGAAGUGAGCUUGGAAGUAGAGCUGCCGCCAGAUAAGACCGAAGCCCCAGGUGACAGCUUGAUUGCAGCUUUCUAAGAAUCCUUGAGGCAGAGGCACCAGGCUGAGCUAUACCUGGAAUCCUGACCAUGGGAUAAUAGUGUUAAGACACUAAGAAAUGGGGUAUGAUAUUUUUGUGCAUCAAUAACUAGUACACAGUGUGUAUAAAUUUCACUUAAAAUGUGAGUGUAAAAAGUCCCAAUUUUUGUUUAGUUUUGCAUGAAAGAGUAAAAUGCCUCUGAUCACAAAUCUCCAUAAAGCUCUAAAACAGCCCAUUUGGAGCUACUCCUUGAAUGGCUCUAGGUGUCAUAGAGUAUCUUGCUCACAAAUAUCCAAGAAGUAUCGUUGAAUGAAUAAAUAACUUCCAAGGUUUCUUUGACGCAUAGGUGGCUGUCUAUACUUGUCCAGUAUGUAAGACGCCAACAAGCUAUAAUAUUUUUCUAAGAGUUUAUUCCUCUAGUGUCACUGGCAUUGACCUCACCUACUUCCCUCCUCGGUCUGUUUUUGAAAGCGCCUCUAUUAGAAUCAUUACUUAGUUUUUUUGUAUUAAAAAAAUUUUUUUUUAAUGUUUACUUAUUUUUGACAGACAGAGGGAGACACAGAGCAUGAGCAGGGGAGGAGUAAAGAGAGAGGGAGACACAGAAUCUGAAACAGGCUCCAGGCUCCGAGCUGUCAGCACAGAGCCUGACGUGGGACUCGAACUCACAGACCGCGAGAUCAUGACCUGAGCCGAAGUCGGACGCUCAACCGACUGAGCCACCCAGGUGUCCCUAGAAUCAUUACUUAUUUAGACAAUGAAAGCAGGAAUUAUCUUCCUGAUAAUUAUUAAAAUGAGUAGGACAAGGCAUACCAGUUUUGUCUCAUAGUAAAAAAAUUGGAUUGAGACAAAAGGUAAUCAAAUUUUAGUCAGAUAAAAAAGAGCAAGAAAUACAAAAUGAAGAAAAAGUGGACUCCAAAAAAAAAAAAAGGAACAGAAUAAAAUUUGAUUUCGAUAACAUACGGUGUGUUUGCAUUAAUGUGAUAUCAUGAACAAUGAAUGAACAACUCUUAAGAAUAAGGUUAAAAAUGUCAGCCCACUACCCUCAGUGUAGUUAUAUCUGAAAUAACAGGAUCCUCAAAAAUAUCCUUAAAAGCAGCUUUCAGAAAACAUUACAUGUAUCAGCAAGAGAAAUGACUUGGGGAAAAAAACUUUAUUUUGUAGUGGCUUAUUUAACGGAAAGGUGAAAUGUUUGAAAGGCUGCAAAACACUACUGUUAUCAAGGAAACACCAAUCUGUUUCUAUAGUAAUUAUUUCUUGAUGUAGAAAUUUCCUGUCUUAGUGAAUUGUUCGCUUGGAAAGACUUUUUUUCCUGGUUGUCUUCAAGUUUGAAAAUGAUUAGAUGGUACAUAAUUGCUCUAAUUUAUUAAUACCAAAUUUAAAUUAGUGACUUAAUAAUUUCCAUUUCCUGAUUACUAUCAAGCAAUGUUAUAGCCAGUGAAGCAGCACUGAAUUCUAGAUAUAUCAAUGCCAUUGAAUUCAAAACGUCUAUAAAUAGGAAACUGUACUCACAGAUUUCCAUGGAAUCUUUUAGAAGCCUUGCUGGAAACAGUUAUCUUUUUCUCAAAGGGGAAAAAAAUCCAGAAAUAAAUUAGCUGUCAGAUACAGAAAAAAAAAAAAUGAAAAAUAAAAACCAACAAACAAAAAGUAAAAAUAUAUUUUUUUGGUUUGUAAAAGAAAAACAUUUUAAAAAGUCUAUAUAAUGAAUUGCUUCUCAUUAAAAAAUAAACUCUUGAACCAUAUUUAACUUGUUUCCUUACUGAAGUCUUAACCACUUUCCAGCCUGAUGUAUCUUGAUUGUAUCCUAAAAUUUCUUGAGCAGUUUCUUGGGCAAGCGUCUUAUAGUCCAUCUACCUGCAAAGUUGUAAAAACAGAUGACUGGUAAGAAUAUAAUCAUACAAAAUAAUUUUAAAAUGCUGUAUUACGUUUUAAUACUAUUUCUACAGUGCCUGUCACAUAGUAAUGAAGAAUCAUUACUUGUUUUUUAAUUAAGUUUUUAUUUAAUAAUUGCUAAAUGCAUGCACGCAUGAAUUCCUUCUUCCUUAUUCAUAGUUUUUCAAAUAGAAAGUGUGGUAUACUACGAAGAGCAGGCUUUGGACUGAAAGAGAACUUGGUCAAAUUCUGUCUCUGCCACUAAUUGUGAACCACAUUAUUUAAUAUUUCCGUUUUCCCAUUUUCUGGGAUAAUAACUAAAUGUUGAAUUAAUGUGAGGAUUGAGAUAAUGCACUUAACUGUCCUACUCCAUGCCUGGUACAUAAUAAGCAUUCAAUAAAUCAUUAGUAUUUCCAAAGGCUUAAUCAUGCUUCCUUACUCCUGUAAAGCUGCAUCAUCUGAUGAUCAAGCGUUCUUGGAAAUUAGUCUUUUUAUUAUUUAUUCAUGUAUUUAUUUAAAAAAUUGUUUUUAAUGUUUAUUUAUUUUUGAC